ensembl:lncRNA
UUAGAUGUUCUUAAAAUUAUCUUAAGAAGUACUAAAGAAGAAUUUCUGGUAAAUGGAGCACUUGAAGUACAUUAUAGAAAUGUACUUUUUUCACCUGGGCUAUCAUACUAAGAGACUAACACAAUACUGAGACUAACAUUUCCUUAUGUGUUACAUAGAAGAAAGUAAGUCAUGCAGGUUUGGAACAACAUGAAUGAAAAAUUAACUUAUUGGCUAAACUGUUAAACCGAUUGACUAAUCUUUUACAUUCAUGCAAAGGGUUAGGGGUGAUCAAGGAGUCGAGAACCUCAACAUUGCACGCUUCAUGUUCACUGUAAGGGGAACAGACAGAGCAAGUUUCAUUUCUGGGAAAAGCGUACAUAACCAAAGGUAAAGUAAGAAAACGCAGGUUGUAGGAUAAGAUGUUUCGUUAAAUUUGUUUCAUUUUCUGUAGCCAUGCCAUAUUUAAAUGUAGAAUAUACUUUGUUUUUCAAUUAUAGUCAUGAUUAGACUUUUCAAGCUAUUUUACAUAAUAUUUAGCUCCAUUUGUGUUCUUAAGUAUCACAUAGUAAUCAUUCUUCCUGUUACAGAAUCGAACGGCUCUGGCGUGAUGUGUGGACAGCAGUGACUUCCACAUAUUACGAUACCCUCAAUGGUCUUGAAGAAGGUGGCUUGCUGGACAUCUCAAACACAAUACACAUUUUCCUUGCCCACUUUGUGUUUCUUCCCCAUCUCCGCAAAGACUUGCAGACAUUUGCUGAGGGCUGGAACCAUCACCCACUCCGCACCGAGGGAAAUAUGACCCCACAUCAGUUGUGGGAGGUGGGACUUAUGCAGAAUAGCAUCAGUGAGAUUGAAAAUUUAGAGGAUGUAGAGAACUGUGACAUAGACUGGGAAAGUGCCAUUUUCCAUGAGGAACCAUUAACCGUAUUUGGAGUUGUGGUUCCAGAACUCCUCCCCCCUCUAAAUGAACAAGAAAUGAGAAGCCUCCAAGCUGCUGUUGACCCUACAGUGACAUCACACUCGAAUGGUAGAGACAUCUAUAUUCAGUGCUUUGAUAUUUGUCACUGACAAAUUGUGAAUAUGCUUAAUCUAUUGUCCUUUGCUUGUUCAGAUCUACUUGAGAUGAAAACAUGUAUUUUCCAAUUACACUUUUUUGAACAUCAGAAAAAAUAUUCAAAUGUGAAAAUACAGUGAACUUAUCGUAAGAUUCAAUAUCACUCUCUUUUAGGGUGUCACCCUAAACUAAAACUGUAGUGAUUGUCACAAAGAAGUAUGUGGUGCUGAACAGUGUUGGUGGAAUGCUUACCAUAUGACAGCUUAAACUCUUUAUACUAACAUUUAUCAACUUGAAACUGUAAUGUCAUACAAGCAAUAAAUUCCUGGCAAAGAAAUUGUGUCCA